GAAGGGUGCAAGCGUUAAUCGGAAUUACUGGGCGUAAAGGGUGCGUAGGCGGUUGUUUAAGUCUGUCGUGAAAUCCCCGGGCUCAACCUGGGAAUGGCGAUGGAUACUGGGCAGCUAGAGUGUGUCAGAGGAUGGUGGAAUUCCCGGUGUAGCGGUGAAAUGCGUAGAGAUCGGGAGGAACAUCAGUGGCGAAGGCGGCCAUCUGGGACAACACUGACGCUGAAGCACGAAAGCGUGGGGAGCAAACAGGAUUAGAUACCCUGGUAGUCCACGCCCUAAACGAUGCGAACUGGAUGUUGGUCUCAACUCGGAGAUCAGUGUCGAAGCUAACGCGUUAAGUUCGCCGCCUGGGGAGUACGGUCGCAAGACUG
rnacentral:rRNA from 1 species